ACGUCACCUCACCUCACCUCACC
rnacentral:misc_RNA from 1 species